GGGGAUUCGUGGCCUAAGGCAAGAAAAUACACUUCUGGAAACUCCAAAGUACAGCGACGUGCUGUUGCCAGUGCAUAUGAACAGACAGGUCCUCAAGAAAGUAUCCAGGGAAAACUCCUGAAAACUUUAUCUGGUCCCAUUGCAGCUGUUAGCUUUUGAGUCUUUAUGCGUCGCCUUUGACAUUUGUCCCAUUGAGAUAAAGGGGAUUCAAGCAAUAGCCACGCAAGCUGUCACCAGAAUCGGAGAGAUACCUUCUUUACUGCACUGUCCUAACAUCAGCAAACGUUGAAAUAUUUGCUUACAUGCUUAAACAACGUCGAAUGUAAUAUCUGGAUGUAUCUUAAAUAAUUAUUAAUAUGUGAAAAAUCUAACAUUUGGGGAAUACAAUAAAAUUAAUAAGCUAAUAUUUUUUACUCCAACAUUACUUUUUGUCCUUUGUAUUCGUUUGUUUACUAUAUGUUGAAUGUGAGUAAGUUACUGGGGACAUUUAAUUUGAAUUUAUGACUAUGAUUUGAUUGUUGAUUGUUAAUAUCAGUUUUAUUGUUUGUUCUUAUACGCCUAGUCACAUUAAAAAAUGAACUGUGUUUUCAGUCUGCCAGUUUCUGAGAUAUUUGUUGGUUCCUUGUACAUUUUGUUGUAUUGCUGCUGUUGUACUGUAUUUCUGCAUAUCUGGAGACAAUAAAAAUAUUGAUUGGAA